AUUCAGUGAAGAACGGGUGAGUAACGCGUGGAUGAUCUACCUAUGAGAUGGGGAUAACUAUUAGAAAUAGUAGCUAAUACCGAAUAAGGUCAGUUAAUUUGUUAAUUGAUGAAAGGAAGCCUUUAAAGCUUCGCUUGUAGAUGAGUCUGCGUCUUAUUAGCUAGUUGGUAGGGUAAAUGCCUACCAAGGCAAUGAUAAGUAACCGGCCUGAGAGGGUGAACGGUCACACUGGAACUGAGAUACGGUCCAGACUCCUACGGGAGGCAGCAGCUAAGAAUCUUCCGCAAUGGGCGAAAGCCUGACGGAGCGACACUGCGUGAAUGAAGAAGGUCGAAAGAUUGUAAAAUUCUUUUAUAAAUGAGGAAUAAGCUUUGUAGGAAAUGACAAAGUGAUGACGUUAAUUUAUGAAUAAGCCCCGGCUAAUUACGUGCCAGCAGCCGCGGUAAUACGUAAGGGGCGAGUUGUUGU
rnacentral:rRNA from 1 species